UUGCUUCCAAUUGCUUCUACGGUGUGCUGGUGACGGGAGGGGAACAACCACCAUCUCUCUAUAUGUUUACCCAUUUACCAGGAAAUAUGUUUAUACUGUUUUCCAAUCAGGAUUUACCACAAGCCGGGAGUUCCACACCUAAUGACCAGGCCAAACCCAGCCCACUGUCAACAGAGAAAAGUCGGCCUCAAACAUGAGAGAUUUUAAAUCACAAUGGACGUUCGAGGAGCAUGACUGCCAGCACUGUGAGCAGCAGGGCUGUCUCCAGCCGUCGACAGGACCAAACAGUAUCUCGGAAGCAUCAGCGAACACGUGUGGACGGAAGGUGCAGCACCCCCGUGAACCGGCCUCGCCCCACCACGGCCUCUCCUUCCAGCAGUCCCUCGGCUCCCCCCAGCCCUGCUCCACGGUGCCCGCCCCCAGCCCAAGGUGCUCACGACUGCCCACAAGAACCCAAACUCAGCCAUCGGAAGGCUGGGCCGCGGGGCUCCGGAGCCUCCAGAGAUGACUCUGCCCCACAGGAUGCCGGCUUCAUCUUCCACAGCCCGCAGGCAGUUCCAGGCACCCCUUCUUGCUGGCAAAAUGGGAGUUCACAGGCCAGAGGAGCCGUCAGUCCUAACACAGCACAAAGAAGGAAACACGACCAUGAGAGAACGGAGAAGGGCCACCCUAGGCAGCCAGCCAAAGGGGCAAGAGGUAAAAAGAGUGGAAGUGGCGCGCCGUCGAGAUUCCCCAAAAGAAAAUAGAAAACCAUCUUGGACAACCAGCUAUAGCGCGUACCAACAAAUAAAAAGAAGACAUUCUGGAGUUCCCGCUGUGAC
rnacentral:lncRNA from 1 species